CUACUGGAAACUCAGAACUUGGGUUCGAAGCACAGUACUUGGUCUUACCACUGUUGCAUAAAGUUAAGAGAAGAUCCUGUCCUUUUGAGUCCUAGUCACAUCAUCUGUAAUACAGAGAUAAGAGGUUUCCAUGGUGUCGAGCUGAGACUUUCAAUAGAUGCAAUACGAAGCGAUAAGAGCAUGUCAGUAGUAGUUCUCAAUGCAUAUAUAUUAUUGUUCAUUUUCUGCCCAAAUGAAUCAUCAAUUGUUUUUUUUCCUAGGCGUGUGAAUGAAACUUACUAAGCAAAAUCAUAUUUUAAAAAUUAUUUCCAGAUCCUUUUUCUUUUUUUUUUUUCCUUUUUCUUUCUUUUGGGAACUCUUACACUAUACCAAUCUUUGUAUGGCUGGUGUUGGUGAAAGAAACAUUAGGACUGAGGACUAACAGGUGGUGAUAUGGAAAUGUGUUUCCCCCUCCCUUUUCCUUAGAGAAAAAGUAACCAAGUAACCAGUAACCACAAGGACAGAAGCUGACGGACACAAUUUCCUUUCCACAUGAGGGAACUCACAUUUUAUUUGAGACAGUCACUAAAGAGCCUGCUACUUCUGCUGGAAUUUGAUUUGCUGUGGUUUAAAAUGUCCCCUAUGCCACCAGCAAUUGUUGAAAACAUCUGCAAACUUGGGUUGUGGCCAUAGGAAAGCAGAAGAUUAGGACAAGCUCCUAGAAAACAUAUGAAGACAAAGGAAGAAUUACCAGGCAGAGAAGAGAAACAGGAUAAUAUAAAACUGUGAAAGCUCAAGAGGAGACCAGAACGAGUUUUAGAAGUCUUAACUGUAGUAAGUGAGUUGAGAGAUGCAAAAGAGCUGCUUCUUCCCCCACAGUGUCUGGAUCUCUUCCUCAGCAUGAGGGCUCUCCUAUGGCCCCUUGUGAAGCCCAAGAUUGUAAAUAGAGGAUCAAAAACAACAUCCAGUACUAUUCAGAUGGAUAGGUCAAAAUUAAACUCAACCGUUGGGAACCCCGAAGUCUCCACACCAGGGUAUGAAGAAGAUUCAAGGGCCACAUCAGUUAUAGGAACAAGAAAAACUAUAAGCAUUUAGAGUCCAGCAUCCUCUUGAACUUCCGGGUUGGUCAACAAGGUCAAGGAACAGGAAGUGCUGAUGUGAAACAAAUCUUACUGUGUUGAGAUCUAUCACAACAUUUCUUUGAAGAGUUAUAAAAUUGUCAUUGAAAGAACAGCACAGGUGAACUUUGUUAGAGUCAUCAAUCCCAAAGCCAGCCUUGGCAGAAAAAAAAAAGGCCCAGCUCAUGUGCUUUAUGUUUCAUUCUGUUUAAAUGAAACAUCUAAGAGGGGAGGAUGACAGAGGCAAGUGGGAGGGAGUAAGACAGAAGGGGAUAGGUAGGGAAGAGAGAAGAAUUUGGACGAUAUAAUUUUGUUUAGCAUGGUUUGACGUCAUAGAAUGAUUGAAAGAAUGAACUUCGACAACAGUGCUCUGUAAAGUUGUUGAACCACAAGUUAC